rnacentral:rRNA from 1 species
GGAAUAUUGGACAAUGGGCGAAAGCCUGAUCCAGUAAUGCCGCGUGAGUGAUGAAGGCCUUAGGGUUGUAAGGCUCUUUUACCCGGGAUGAUAAUGACAGUACCGGGAGAAUAAGCCCCGGCUAACUCCGUGCCAGCAGCCGCGGUAAUACGGAGGGGGCUAGCGUUGUUCGGAAUUACUGGGCGUAAAGCGCGCGUAGGCGGCGAUCCAAGUCAGGGGUGAAAUCCCGGGGCUCAACCCCGGAACUGCCCUUGAAACUAGGUUGCUAGAAUACUGGAGAGGUGAGUGGAAUUCCGAGUGUAGAGGUGAAAUUCGUAGAUAUUCGGAAGAACACCAGUGGCGAAGGCGACUCACUGGACAGUUAUUGACGCUGAGGUGCGAAAGCGUGGGGAGCAAAC